rnacentral:rRNA from 1 species
GACGAACGCUGGCGGCGUGCCUAAUACAUGCAAGUUGAGCGCUGAAGGUUGGUACUUGUACCGACUGGAUGAGCAGCGAACGGGUGAGUAACGCGUGGGGAAUCUGCCUUUGAGCGGGGGACAACAUUUGGAAACGAAUGCUAAUACCGCAUAAAAACUUUAAACACAAGUUUUAAGUUUGAAAGAUGCAAUUGCAUCACUCAAAGAUGAUCCCGCGUUGUAUUAGCUAGUUGGUGAGGUAAAGGCUCACCAAGGCGAUGAUACAUAGCCGACCUGAGAGGGUGAUCGGCCACAUUGGGACUGAGACACGGCCCAAACGCCUACGGGAGGCAGCAGGAGGGAAUCUUCGGCAAUGGACGAAAGUCUGACCGAGCAACGCCGCGUGAGUGAAGAAGGUUUUCGGAUCGUAAAACUCUGUUGGUAGAGAAGAACGUUGGUGAGAGUGGAAAGCUCAUCAAGUGACGGUAACUACCCAGAAAGGGGCGGCUAACUACGUG